AUACGGAAGGUCCGGGCGUUAUCCGGAUUUAUUGGGUUUAAAGGGAGCGCAGGCGGAGAUGCAAGCGUGACGUCAAAUUUCGGGGCUCAACCCCGUCUCGCGUCGCGAACUGCGUCCCUUGGUUGCGGGAAGGGGAGGCGGAACUCGUGGUGUAGCGGUGAAAUGCAUAGAUAUCACGAAGAACUCCGAUCGCGAAGGCAGCCUUCCGGCCCGUCAACGACGCUCAUGCUCGAAGGUGCGGGUAUCAAACAGGAUUAGAUACCCUGGUAGUCCGCACAGUAAACGAUGGACACCCGCGGUUUGGCCUGUAUGGCUGAGCCGCCAAGCGAAAGCGUUAAGUGUCCCACCUGGGGAGUACGCCGGCAACGGUGAAACUCAAAGGAAUUAACGGGG
rnacentral:rRNA from 1 species